rnacentral:rRNA from 1 species
UACGUAGGGGGCAAGCGUUGUCCGGAAUCAUUGGGCGUAAAGAGCGUGUAGGCGGCUCGAUAAGUCUGCUGUGAAAGUCCAGGGCUCAACCCUGGAAGGCCGGUGGAAACUGUCUGGCUAGAGUCCGGAAGAGGAGAGUGGAAUUCCUGGUGUAGCGGUGAAAUGCGCAGAUAUCAGGAAGAACACCUAUGGCGAAGGCAGCUCUCUGGGACGUUACUGACGCUGAGACGCGAAAGCGUGGGGAGCAAACAGG